AAAUAAACCUGAUUGGAGUGAUCCCGAUUCUUCAUCGGGAGUAACGAAAAGCAGGACUAACA
rnacentral:sRNA from 1 species